GUCAGCAUGGCUUAGUGGUUUGAGUGUUGGACUAUUAUGACUCUGGGGACCAGGGUUCGAUUCUCAGCUCAGCCC